rnacentral:lncRNA from 1 species
GGGUGUGCGACACUCCACAUGAGAGGUUGACAAUAUUGUAUAUAAAGAUUCUUGAUCUUCUGAAACACCUUCCUAAACAUGCAGCCGAUAGAAAAUACACAGAACAGAUCACCAAUGAGAAGCUGGAUGUGGUCAAAGCAGAACCAAGAUGUUAAGGGUGAAGUAGAAGAGGUGAUUCUUCAGGCUGAAAAAGAACUAAGUCUGGAAAGGAAAAUGUUGCAGUGGAAGCCUUGGGAGCCACUGGUGGAAGAGCCGCCUGCUGACCAGU